GAUGAUCAUAGUGCUUGAGUUGGUAAAGAAGUGGAUGAUCAUUUCAAUGCUUAUCUUAUAACAUUGUUAUUAUUAUGGCUCCAAUAUAGUUUUCUAAAAUUUGAUGGCUCAUCUCUCUCUAGUGUCAUUGAAAACAUGUCUCAGUCUCGCGGCGGAAAAUAAUGAUUUCUUGUGUAAACCCAAGUAAGGGAAAUAACGAAUGUUGUCUUUCAGACACUCUGAAGCUUCAUAUAGCAACUCGUUUCCUAGUUAUUCAUGAAACGAAGAUUUGGCGAUGAAUGCCUUCUUCGAAGCAUCUCAUGUUUGAAUGGAUCAUAGUGGGAAGUGUUGAGAAUCUGUGUUCGGCGAUAAGCUAGGAGCUAUGCGAACGCAAAGGUUGGUUUGUUCCAUAGACUUUUAU
rnacentral:lncRNA from 1 species